AAGGAGGGCACUUUUUGGGAUGCGCCCUGAGUGUUAUAUGUAAGUGAUGAAUCACUGGGUUCUACUCCUGAAGCCAAGACUACACUGUAUGUCAACUAACUUGAAUUUUAAUUUAUUAAUCACAGGGUUCAAGUCCUAGAUGGAGUGAUAGCAGGUAUCUCAAUUACAACUUUGAAUUGUUUUCCACCACUGAACAUUCUAAGAGUUUUUUGAGACACAUAGUGACUACAACAUCAUAAAACUCCAAGGAAGUAGUUUUCUUUCUGUCCCUACUCUCACUUUGUAUUUCUUGACUUUUAUUUUGGGUAUUCUUCAAGAAAUGUACCCAGUCUCCUUUUGUCUCCAGCCUACUGUGUUACCACAUAGCUUCCAAAAGUGGGUGAUAAAGGUCAUGAACUUGAAGUUCAUGAGUUGGAGUGCCACGUUGGGCUGACAGCAUGGAGCCUGCUUGGGAUUUUCUCUCUCUCUCUCUCUCUCUCUCUCUCUCUGCCCCUCCCUUGCUCACAUUCUCUCUCACUCUCUUUCUCUCUCCCCUCAAAAUAAAUAAAGUGUAUAAAAAGAAUAAAUACUUCGCAGUAAUGAA